rnacentral:rRNA from 1 species
CCUACGGGAGGCAGCAGUAGGGAAUCUUCCACAAUGGGCGCAAGCCUGAUGGAGCAACACCGCGUGAGUGAAGAAGGGUUUCGGCUCGUAAAGCUCUGUUGUUGGAGAAGAACGUGCGUGAGAGUAACUGUUCACGCAGUGACGGUAUCCAACCAGAAAGUCACGGCUAACUACGUGCCAGCAGCCGCGGUAAUACGUAGGUGGCAAGCGUUAUCCGGAUUUAUUGGGCGUAAAGCGAGCGCAGGCGGUUGCUUAGGUCUGAUGUGAAAGCCUUCGGCUUAACCGAAGAAGUGCAUCGGAAACCGGGCAACUUGAGUGCAGGAGAGGACAGUGGAACUCCAUGUGUAGCGGUGGAAUGCGUAGAUAUAUGGAAGAACACCAGUGGCGAAGGCGGCUGUCUGGUCUGCAACUGACGCUGAGGCUCGAAAGCAUGGGUAGCGAACAGGAUUAGAUACCCGAGUAGUC